AAAACGACUGCAAGGCCCUAGCUUACAUGUGUUGUGACAUGCCUGCUUACCAAGCCAGCAAGCUGCUGGCUUAGAGAUAGGCUGGCAGCCAUUCAUACCUGUUAAACACAUCAGUACACAGUGGAUACAGCCUUUCACACCAUCAGGAAAAACAAGGAUGAAAAACACUUGAACAUCACUGUUUUCCAGGAAGUAGGGUGUGACCUCUUUUCGACAGAUGGGGUGAAAACACACAAGUGGACCAGCAGCUCCCGCCACAAAUAGAGUCUGGAAAUGCAGGGCCACUCAUGGGCAGCAGCUUCUUGUCCAGUCGUCACCAAUAAAGAGAAUCCCCACCACGGUCCUAGUGCCAAGGUGGCCACUGAGUGCAACAGGUGGAAGAAAACGGAAUCUUGAAUAAGAAAACGUGUUCUACUCCCAACUGCUACCUUUCAACCCCAAGCGGUGCUGACAUGAAAAAUGGCAUAUAAUGAGCUCUUCUACAGAGCAGGUAAAUAAGCAGCGAUCAAGACUGCUCAUGUAAAAAAAUAAAAAUCAUUCCUUUUCAAUUCCAAUAAAACAAAACUCAACU
rnacentral:antisense_RNA from 1 species